CUAAUACAUGCAAGUCGAACGAACUCUGGUAUUGAUUGGUGCUUGCAUCAUGAUUUACAUUUGAGUGAGUGGCGAACUGGUGAGUAACACGUGGGAAACCUGCCCAGAAGCGGGGGAUAACACCUGGAAACAGAUGCUAAUACCGCAUAACAACUUGGACCGCAUGGUCCGAGUUUGAAAGAUGGCUUCGGCUAUCACUUUUGGAUGGUCCCGCGGCGUAUUAGCUAGAUGGUGGGGUAACGGCUCACCAUGGCAAUGAUACGUAGCCGACCUGAGAGGGUAAUCGGCCACAUUGGGACUGAGACACGGCCCAAACUCCUACGGGAGGCAGCAGUAGGGAAUCUUCCACAAUGGACGAAAGUCUGAUGGAGCAACGCCGCGUGAGUGAAGAAGGGUUUCGGCUCGUAAAACUCUGUUGUUAAAGAAGAACAUAUCUGAGAGUAACUGUUCAGGUAUUGACGGUAUUUAACCAGAAAGCCACGGCUAACUACGUGCCAGCAGCCGCGGUAAUACGUAGGUGGCAAGCGUUGUCCGGAUUUAUUGGGCGUAAAGCGAGCGCAGGCGGUUUUUUAAGUCUGAUGUGAAAGCCUUCGGCUCAACCGAAGAAGUGCAUCGGAAACUGGGAAACUUGAGUGCAGAAGAGGACAGUGGAACUCCAUGUGUAGCGGUGAAAUGCGUAGAUAUAUGGAAGAACACCAGUGGCGAAGGCGGCUGUCUGGUCUGUAACUGACGCUGAGGCUCGAAAGUAUGGGUAGCAAACAGGAUUAGAUACCCUGGUAGUCCAUACCGUAAACGAUGAAUGCUAAGUGUUGGAGGGUUUCCGCCCUUCAGUGCUGCAGCUAACGCAUAAGCAUUCCGCCUGGGGAGUACGGCCGCAAGGCUGAAACUCAAAGGAAUUGACGGGGGCCCGCACAAGCGGUGGAGCAUGUGGUUUAAUUCGAAGCUACGCGAAGAACCUUACCAGGUCUUGACAUACUAUGCAAAUCUAAGAGAUUAGACGUUCCCUUCGGGGACAUGGAUACAGGUGGUGCAUGGUUGUCGUCAGCUCGUGUCGUGAGAUGUUGGGUUAAGUCCCGCAACGAGCGCAACCCUUAUUAUCAGUUGCCAGCAUUAAGUUGGGCACUCUGGUGAGACUGCCGGUGACAAACCGGAGGAAGGUGGGGAUGACGUCAAAUCAUCAUGCCCCUUAUGACCUGGGCUACACACGUGCUACAAUGGAUGGUACAACGAGUUGCGAACUCGCGAGAGUAAGCUAAUCUCUUAAAGCCAUUCUCAGUUCGGAUUGUAGGCUGCAACUCGCCUACAUGAAGUCGGAAUCGCUAGUAAUCGCGGAUCAGCAUGCCGCGGUGAAUACGUUCCCGGGCCUUGUACACACCGCCCGUCACACCAUGAGAGUUUGUAACACCCAAAGUCGGUGGGGUAACCUUUUAGGAACCAGCCGCCUAAGGUGGGACAGAUGAUUAGGGUGAAGUCGUAC
rnacentral:rRNA from 1 species